ensembl:lncRNA
GAAAGAUGGAACUUGAGUGGUGUGCUUCCUUCUGGCUGGGAAAAACUCAGAGGCUUCAAGGUAUAGGAUACAUGUGUCUUCCAGAGUGCUCAGGCAUUCUGUGAGAGCGUUUUAUGAUUUUCAGACUGGAAACAAAAAGGAAACGUGUGAUAAAGGCAAAGUCUCUUUUCCUCACCUGCUCUUUGUGUAUAUGACUCUUUUUUGGUCUGUGGCCAUAAGAACCUUACGCACUUAAACAAUAUAUACAUAUCCAUUUAAGUCACUGAUACUUAGAUAUGCAGAUGAGCCACUGUGCACCCCUCCUGGCUCAUCUGAGUAAUAAAUUCUGCAGUCCGCUCUUUAUGAUGGUAGGUCAUAUUCCUAACCACCAAUAAAUAUUGUAAAGUACUUUCGCUGCAGCCGUGCUAACCCAGGGCAUCUGUCAUUCCGGUCGCUGCUAUUAGGAAUUAUUGGACUGAACCACUGGUGGAGAAAGCAGAGGGGGGUGAGCCUGGUGGUUGUGACGCGUACUGCCCUUUUGUGUGUUUUGCAUAAAAAACUCCAAAUCGUGCUGCAUAUUAAUUAUGAAUCAGUGUGGGCAAACGCGGGCACCUUCUGCUGGCUGAGGCUUGGAGCAGGAGACAGGGGCUCUGAGGGCCUGGGCACCUCUCGCUCCCCGUCAGCAGAUCCAUCUUUCUGAUGCUAUACUGUAAAUUUAUUUCACCUCGGAGAGUAAACAGAUAUAUUGGAGCCCCAAGGGUUCAUGGGUAGCGUAUUUACAAAGGAGUCUCUCCGCCAGCCCGUGCCACCGCUGCUAAUGAGAGCGGUCAUUAAGUAAAUGAGACGUCGCCUUCAGCUGGCUUAGGAGUUCGCACACUAAAGGGAGAAGAUAUUUAAUUGAAACCCGCACACAGGCUUCCCCACAUGUGACCGCUGGAAGCGAGGCAGCCGCCUCGCCUCUCCUCCCGUCCAUCCGCACCCCCCAUGUAAAUUUCAUGAUUGCUUUCCGUGAUGUCAUUUUGAAAGAGGACAGACAAUAGCUGUGGGGAAAGAAAAUGAGUUCCGGGGUGAGCUUCUGAGCCAGAGGUGGACACACGGAGACAAGGCCGACAACUGUAGGACCCCGAGACUCUUCCUGGGCGGACGUGGCAAGCCUAUCUUCCCGUGGUGGCAGAGGUGGUGCAGCCAGCAGGCCGAGCAGUGCUGCCCACCGACACGUGGGCACACGGGUGCUGCGGGCCAGAGGACAUGUACAGCCGCCCUUGGAGGAGGAAAGCAGGGUAAGUCCAGUGGAGCUAGUCAGAGUUCAGAAAUCAAGGUUUACCUGCUUGCGCGUCGAUGUGGCUUCUGGUUCUUACAGCUGAUGCUCAUGUUGAAAGGCUAACCCUAGUUCUUCCUCCCUUAGUUCAGUUUUUUUUUUUUUUUUUCCCUUUUACAUCAAAACUCUGUGCACUGAGAACUUCUUACUUAUUGACCAUUUGAUGCAGAUAAAUUGCAAAUGGAAAGGUGCUCGGCAGAAUGAAUGGCACAGCUGUCAGCUCGUCGACGUGAGCUCCCAGUGUGAGAGCAGCCUGCACGCAUCCUGCAGCCCUCUCCAUUUUGUGCUCUUUGAAUAAUUUAUCUGCAGGAAAUCCAAAUUGCCAAGGCCCGCU